CUACGGGACGCUGCAGUGGGGAAUAUUGGACAAUGGGGGAAACCCUGAUCCAGCAAUGCCGCGUGUGUGAAGAAGGCCUGCGGGUUGUAAAGCACUUUCGGUUGGGAGGACUGCUUCUAGCACUAAUAUUGUUGGAAGUUGACGUUACCUUCAGAAGAAGCACCGGCUAACUCCGUGCCAGCAGCCGCGGUAAUACGGAGGGUGCAUGCGUUAAUCGGAAUUACUGGGCGUAAAGCGCGCGUAGGCGGCUAGAUCAGUCGGGUGUGAAAGCCCCGGGCUUAACCUGGGAACUGCAUCCGAUACUGUCUAGCUUGAGUACAGGAGAGGAGAGUGGAAUUCCACAUGUAGCGGUGAAAUGCGUAGAUAUGUGGAGGAACACCAAUGGCGAAGGCAGCUCUCUGGCCUGAUACUGACGCUGAGGUGCGAAGGCGUGGGGAGCAAACAGGAUUAGAUACCCCCGUAGUC
rnacentral:rRNA from 1 species